GCGCACAUAGCUCAAAUGGUAAGAGCAUCACUCUUGAAAGUUGAGGUUGUGGGUUUGAUUCCCACAGUGCACA
rnacentral:tRNA from 1 species